GACGUAGGGUGCGAGCGUUUGUCCGGAAUUAUUGGGCGUAAAGGGCUCGUAGGCGGUUUGUCGCGUCGGGAGUGAAAACACUGGGCUUAACUCAGUGCUUGCUUCCGAUACGGGCAGACUAGAGGUAUUCAGGGGAGAACGGAAUUCCUGGUGUAGCGGUGAAAUGCGCAGAUAUCAGGAGGAACACCGGUGGCGAAGGCGGUUCUCUGGGAAUGUCCUGACGCUGAGGAGCGAAGGUCAGGGGAGCAAACGGG
rnacentral:rRNA from 1 species